rnacentral:rRNA from 1 species
GGGGGAAUAUUGGUCAAUGGGCGAGAGCCUGAACCAGCCAAGUCGCGUGAAGGAAGACUGCCCGCAAGGGUUGUAAACUUCUUUUGUAUGGGAUUAAAGUCACCUACGUGUAGGGGUUUGCAGUUACCAUACGAAUAAGCAUCGGCUAACUCCGUGCCAGCAGCCGCGGUAAUACGGAGGAUGCGAGCGUUAUCCGGAAUCACUGGGCGUAAAGGGUUCGCAGGCGGAAAUGCAAGUCAGGUGUAAAAGGCAGUAGCUUAACUACUGUAAGCAUUUGAAACUGCAGAUCUUGAGAAGAGUAGAGGUGAGUGGAAUUUUUAGUGUAGCGGUGAAGUGCGUAGAUAUUAAAAAGAAUACCGGUGGCGAAGGCGACUUACUGGGCUCAUUCUGACGCUGAGGAACGAAGGCGUGGGUAGCAAACAGG